CAGUCGCCGCGGGAAUACGAAGGGUGCAAGCGUUACUCGGAAUUACUGGGCGUAAAGCGUGCGUAGGUGGUGGUUUAAGUCCGUUGUGAAAGCCCUGGGCUCAACCUGGGAAUUGCAGUGGAUACUGGGUCACUAGAGUGUGGUAGAGGAUAGUGGAAUUUCCGGUGUAGCAGUGAAAUGCGUAGAUAUGCGGAGGAACACCGAUGGCGAAGGCAGCCCCCUGGGCCAACACUGACGCUCAUGCACGAAAGCGUGGGGAGCAAACAGGAUUAGAUACCCCAGUAGUCCCUGUCUCUUAUAC
rnacentral:rRNA from 1 species